GGGGGGGGGGGGGGGGGGGGAGCCGAAAGGAGACAGCAUAGAGAUAAAUUAACUAUCACAUGAGAAAAGAAAACAUUUCAAGUCGAGAUAAACGAAUAUUAUUAUUAUAUAUAUAUAUAUAUAAUGCUUCCAUUAUUACACUCAAUAGUAAACUCAGUCUUUUCAUUAAUUUUAUGACACCUGCAAGUCUAUGGGAGGACGGCACGUUAAAACUAAGAACGGAAAUAGACUAGAGACAGACUAACGACGAGAGAGACCUCUAGACUGUUGCCCUACUUUUUGUACUAAAAUAUUAGAUUUAUAUAUUAUAUUUCUAAAGAGGCCGGAUUACGUAAUAUAUAUUAGGCCUAAUCUGUUGUGGGAGUGUGUAUAUUCAGUGGCGUCACUUUUUUUUUCGUUGGUUUGUUGCGCUGUAAUACAUAUUGUUAAUACGUUAUUGGAUUGUUGAACUAAAAAAUAAAACAAAAUGUGUCAGCUGCUGAUUACAAUUUAUCUACAGUUCAUUUGGUUUACGUAGUCAUGUGAAACUCUGCAAGCAUCCUUAAUCUUUGAAAUCGAAGAUAUUGCCAUUUAUUUAUAAUUCAAUAUUGCAACAAUGCAACUAUAAGUAAAUUAAAUUGUUUUUUUUUUCGAUUUCAACCUUGAAAACGUAUUAUUAACCUAAUGUCUGUAACGAUCUCAUUUUUAAUAAAAUUCUGUUUUGUGAAA